AAGUGAUUUCCUGUUGUUUCAUAGAAUCUCCUGAGAUGGAAGGGACCCACAAGGAUCACUGGGCUCCAACAGCUGGCCCUGCACAGGACAGCCCCAGGACUCACCAAAGACAUCUGUACUGUGCAUUAUCCAGAAUGACACAGGACAAAACCCACAAGCACCUGUGACAGAGCAACUGAGCUGUCAGUCUGGGAUUAGCUAUCACACAGAUGAUAACAAAAAGCAGCUGACCAGGCUGAGGUAAUUUUUAAGAAGUUGGCACUAUAAAGGAUUCACAUUGCACUCUGGGUAUUGUACUUGCCAGACAGAUGAACAGACUCACCAACAGAAAUAAUUCAGAGUGCAGUGGUACAUCAGCAGUAUUUAUGUUAGAUUUUGCUCAAGAGUUUUAUUUUCAAAAUUGACUCCUUGCAUCCUAAAUGAUUUUGUAUUUUGUCAGGCAUGGAAUUGCAGAACAGCAGGUGAAAUGGGGAGUUUCUAUCAGUGGAUUAAGAAGAUGUGAUUGUAGAGAAAUCAACCCAUUUUUUACUCAUUUUGGUUACUAUCACUCUACAUGCAGACAUGCAAACAUUUUUUUCUUAUAUUCUUCAGAGUCUUUACCUUUCUGGUAACAACCUUCAUGGACUUUGAAAUUACUUCAAAAGGACAUUUAUAAUUUUAAAGCUUCCUUGAAAGAUUUGUUCACUAUUCACUCAUUCACUGAAAAUGUUGUACACAUGAAAGAGUACAAAACAUUUAGCCAUAGAAGCAUUUUCUGCUUUACAGACUGUACAACAACCUAAAAAAAGAUGCACUGGGUAUCCAAGGAUAUGGAUGUACCAGAGCACAUUGGACUUCAGUUUCCAGGAUGCUGGAUAUAACACUUUCCUCAUCAAGCUAUUUUAAAGCAACCAAAUUCACUUCUUAAGCAUAAUUAUCAUGUACUUCCACAUUUCCUUGUCUGCUCACUGCAAUAAAAACCUGCAUUCCAGCACAGCCUUACCUCUCUUCACUGUUCACUAUGCUCAGCACUGGGUCCACA